rnacentral:rRNA from 1 species
UCUCCUCGGGGCGCAGCAGUGAGGAAUAUUGGUCAAUGGGCUUACGCCUGAACCAGCCAAGUCGCGUGAGGGAAGACUGCCCUAUGGGUUGUAAACCUCUUUUGUCAGGGAGCAACGCCGGCUACGUGUAGCCGGACUGAGAGUACCUGAAGAAAAAGCAUCGGCUAACUCCGUGCCAGCAGCCGCGGUAAUACGGAGGAUGCGAGCGUUAUCCGGAUUUAUUGGGUUUAAAGGGUGCGUAGGCGGAAUGCCAAGUCAGCGGUAAAAUUUCGGGGCUCAACCCCGUCGUGCCGUUGAAACUGGCG